rnacentral:rRNA from 1 species
GAUGAACGCUGGCGGCGUGCCUAACACAUGCAAGUCGAGCGAAGCACUUAUUUUAGCUUUCUGUGGAAUGACGAAGUUUGUGACUGAGCGGCGUACGGGUGAGUAACUCGUGUGUAACCUGCCCUGUACAGGGGGAUAACAGUUAGAAAUGACAGCUAAUACCGCAUAAGCCCACAGCUUCGCAUGAAGCAGUGGGAAAAAGUCCGGUGGUACAGGAUGGGCCCGCUUCUGAUUAGCUAGUUGGUAAGGUAACGGCUUACCAAGGCGACGAGCAGUAGCCGAGCUGAGAGGGUGACCGGCCACAUUGGGACUGCGACACGGCCCAAACUCCUACGGGAGGCAGCAGUGGGGAAUAUUGCACAAUGGGGGAAACCCUGAUGCAGCGACGCCGCGUGAGCGAUGAAGUAUUUCGGUAUGUAAAGCUCUAUCAGCAGGGAAGAAAGUGACGGUACCUGACGAAGAAGCCCCGGCUAACUACGUG